CAGCCGCCGCGGGAAUACGGAGGGCGCGAGCGUUACCCGGAUUUACUGGGCGUAAAGGGCGUGUAGGCGGCCUGGGGCGUCCCAUGUGAAAAGCCACGGCUCAACCGUGGAGGAGCGUGGGAUACGCUCAGGCUAGAGGGUGGGAGAGGGUGGUGGAAUUCCCGGAGUAGCGGUGAAAUGCGCAGAUACCGGGAGGAACGCCGAUGGCGAAGGCAGCCACCUGGUCCACUUCUGACGCUGAGGCGCGAAAGCGUGGGGAGCAAACCGGAUUAGAUACCCCUGUAGUCCCUGUCUCUUAUAC
rnacentral:rRNA from 1 species